AGCAGCCGCGGUAAUUCCAGCUCCAAUAGCGUAUAUUAAAGUUGUUGCAGUUAAAAAGCUCGUAGUUGAAUUUCGGGAUCAAUUAGUCGGUCGUGCCUCUGGUACGUACUGGUUUUAUUGGUUCCUCCCUUCUGACGAAACAUGAUGUCAUUAAUUUGGUGUCGUGGGAAAUCAGGACUGUUACUUUGAAAAAAUUAGAGUGUUUAAAGCAGGCUCACGCUUGAAUACAUUAGCAUGGAAUAAUGAAAUAGGACGUUUGAUUCUAUUUUGUUGGUUUCUAGGAUCGACGUAAUGAUUAAUAGGGAUAGUUGGGGGCAUUAGUAUUCAAUUGUCAGAGGUGAAAUUCUUGGAUUUAUUGAAGACUAACUACUGCGAAAGCAUUUGCCAAGGAUGUUUUCAUUAAUCAAGAACGAAAGUUAGGGGAUCGAAGACGAUCAGAUACCGUCGUAGUCUUAACCAUAAACUACGCCGACUAGGGAUCGGAUGAUGUUAAUUUUUUAAUGACUCAUUCGGCGCCUUA
rnacentral:misc_RNA from 1 species